GUGGGGAAUCUUGCGCAAUGGGCGAAAGCCUGACGCAGCCAUGCCGCGUGGAUGAUGAAGGUCUUAGGAUUGUAAAAUUCUUUCACCGGGGACGAUAAUGACGGUACCCGGAGAAGAAGCCCCGGCUAACUUCGUGCCAGCAGCCGCGGUAAUACGAAGGGGGCUAGCGUUGCUCGGAAUUACUGGGCGUAAAGGGCGCGUAGGCGGACAGCUUAGUCAGAGGUGAAAGCCCAGGGCUCAACCUUGGAAUUGCCUUUGAUACUGGCUGUCUUGAGUUUGGGAGAGGUGAGUGGAAUUCCGAGUGUAGAGGUGAAAUUCGUAGAUAUUCGGAAGAACACCAGUGGCGAAGGCGACUCACUGGCCCGUUACUGACGCUGAGGCGCGAAAGCGUGGGGAGCAAACAGGAUUAGAUACCCCAGUAGUCC
rnacentral:rRNA from 1 species